AGAGCGAACGCUGGCGGCAGGCCUAAUACAUGCAAGUCGAACGGACCCUUCGGGGUUAGUGGCGGACGGGUGAGUAACACGUGGGAACGUGCCCUUUGGUUCGGAACAACUCAGGGAAACUUGAGCUAAUACCGAAUGUGCCCCCAUCCUUAAACAAGAUGGGCGGGAAAGAUUUAUCGCCAUUGGAGCGGCCCGCGUCUGAUUGGCUAGUUGGUGAGGUAAAGGCUCACCAAGGCGACGAUCAGUAGCUGGUCUGAGAGGAUGAUCAGCCACACUGGGACUGAGACACGGCCCAGACUCCUACGGGAGGCAGCAGUCGGGAAUUUUGCUCAAUGGACGAAAGUCUGAAGCAGCAACGCCGCGUGAGGGAUGAAGGCCUUCGGGUUGUAAACCUUCUUUUAUCAGGGACGAUAAUGACGGUACCUGAUGAAUAAGUCACGGCUAACUACGUGCCAGCAGCCGC
rnacentral:rRNA from 1 species